rnacentral:rRNA from 1 species
CCUANGGGGGGCAGCAGUGGGGAAUAUUGCGCAAUGGGCGAAAGCCUGACGCAGCAACGCCGCGUGGGGGAUGAAGGUUCUCGGAUUGUAAACCCCUUUCGAUCGGAACGAAUCUCCUCUUGGUAAAUAAUCAAGAGGAUCGACGGUACCGGGAGAAGAAGCCACGGCUAACUCUGUGCCAGCAGCCGCGGUAAGACAGAGGUGGCGAGCGUUGUUCGGAUUUAUUGGGCGUAAAGCGAACGCAGGUGGUUUGGUAAGUCAGAGGUGAAAGACCACAGCUUAACUGUGGCACUGCCUUUGAUACUGCCUUUCUAGAGUGCAUGAGGGGGAAGCGGAAUUCCGAGUGUAGAGGUGAAAUUCGUAGAUAUUCGGAGGAACACCGGUGGCGAAGGCGGCUUCCUGGCAUGUAACUGACACUCAUGUUCGAAAGCGUGGGUAGCAAACAGGAUUAGAUACCCUGNUANUC